GUUGUAUGGUUAAGUGACUAAGCGUACACGGUGGAUGCCUUGGCAGUUGGAGGCGAUGAAGGACGUAUUAACUUGCGAUAAGCCUAGUCAAGCUAGUAAAAAGCACUGAGACUAGGAUUUCCGAAUGGGGAAACCCACCUGCUUGCAGGUAUCGUUAACUGAAUACAUAGGUUAACGAGGCGAACGCGGAGAACUGAAACAUCUAAGUACCCGUAGGAAAAGAAAUCAACC
rnacentral:rRNA from 1 species